ACGGUCGCGUAACACGUAAGCAACCUGCCCUAAAGUGGGGGAUAGCCCUCCGAAAGGAGGAUUAAUACCGCAUGUGAACCCUUGAUUGCAUGAUCGAGUGUUUAAAGCAGCAAUGCGCUUUAGGAUGGGCUUGCGGCCUAUCAGCUAGUUGGUGGGGUAACGGCCUACCAAGGCGACGACGGGUAGCUGGUCUGAGAGGAUGGUCAGCCGGAUCGGGACUGAGACACGGCCCGGACUCCUACGGGGGGCAGCAAUUAGGAAUCUUGCACAAUGGGCGAAAGCCUGAUGCAGCGACGUCGCGUGACCGAUGAAGUCUUUCGGGAUGUAAAGGUCUUUUCUGAGGGAAGAAGGAUGUGACGGUACCUCAGGAAUAAGCCCCGGCUAACUACGUGCCAGCAGCCGCGGUAAUACGUAGGGGGCGAGCGUUGUCCGAAUUUACUGGGCGUAAAGCGCGCGUAGGCGGAUUUUUAAGUUGGGGGUGAAAUCCCGGGGCUCAACCCCGGAACUGCCUCCAAAACUGGAAGUCUUGAGGUAUGGAGAGGGAAGUGGAAUUCCUGGU
rnacentral:rRNA from 1 species